CAAUAAUUUAAUUAUGGAUAGUUAAUUGUCAAAGUUAUGCCACUGGCAAAAACCGCAGUUUUAUUUGCCGGACUGAUCCACGUGAUCCUAGGCAGUGUAUUUAGCAAUAAUCUCAACAAACUAAUCAUCGAUUUGACCGAAGAUUGUGUAAACAAUUAUUACACAAGCAUCCAUUUACCUUAUGGGACGGGGUCUUCAGACGCCCGCAUCGUUUUACUGCGACCUGUCCCAUCCUACACCAGAAAUUGCACCAUUGAUAUUAUCAGACCACAGUUCCAAAAGAGCUGUGGUGAUAAAUGUAUGACCAUAGUGGUGGUGGAAUUUUUCAAUUAUAAAACGUACAAUACGUGUACCAUGAACGGGGGCGUAUUUAUGGUUUCUGGCAGUCUACAAUUCGGAGAUGUUUGUGCAGAUUUGGAUAGUAAUCCAAAUCAGACUAAAAAUGAACUGCAACAUCGAAUGCAUGCUUAUGUGGUCCGUGACAGAAACUUUUCAAUUAAAAUUGACUUUUGGGAUUUUUUUGGAACGAUUAAAGUAACAGCAACUUCAGGAAAAUUUUUGGGCACUUCUGGUAACUGUUCGUCAAACGAGAUUGUUUGCAUAUUGAAGGGCCAAGUUUUCUGCAUUCAUAAACUUCUGGAAUGUGACGGCAAUUGUAACUGCGGUACGCCGAAAUUAUACGAUGAGUAUUGCAGUAAUCUACAUGUGCAAGAAAACAUACUACUGAUGAUUAUUUACGGAGUUUGUCUGGUGGCAGUCGUUAUGUUUUUCCUCAUUCAAAUAUUGCGUGUUUGUGUGCCAAGUGUUGCCGAUCAUUUCUUCGUUUUCCACGAAACCGA